UGGGGGAUAUUGCACAAUGGGCGAAAGCCUGAUGCAGCGACGCCGCGUGGGGGAUGAAGGCUUUCGGGUUGUAAACCUCUUUCGCUAUCGAACAAGGCCCGCUUAGGGUGGGUUGAGGGUAGGUGGAGAAGAAGCGCCGGCUAACUACGUGCCAGCAGCCGCGGUAAUACGUAGGGCGCGAGCGUUGUCCGGAAUUAUUGGGAGUAAUGGGCUUGUAGGCGGCUUGUUGCGCCUGCUGUGAAAACGCGGGGCUUAACUUCGGGGGUGCAGUGGUGACGGGGAGUCUUGAGUGUGGUAGGGGUGACUGGAAUUCCAGGUGUAGCGGUGGAAUGCGCAGAUAUCUGGAGGAACACCGAUGGCGAAGGCAGGUCACUGGGCCAUUACUGACGCUGAGGAGCGAAAGCAUGGGUAGCGAACAGG
rnacentral:rRNA from 1 species